UCCCCGGUGAUAUCAAGGGAAGUUGAUAAAGACUUCCCUUCCUUUUGUCUCAGGUGUUUAAAUAAAGAAAAUAGAUAAGCUUUCCCUGGUGAUAUCAAGGGAAGUUGAUUAAGACUUCCCUUCCUUUUGUCUCUGGUGUUUAAAUAAAGAAAAUAGAUAAGCUUUCCCCGGUGAUAUCAAGGGAAGUUGAUAAAGACUUCCCUUCCUUUUGUCUCAGGUGUUUAAAUAAAGAAAAUAGAUAAGCUUUCCCUGGUGAUAUCAAGGGAAGUUGAUUAAGACUUCCCUUCCUUUUGUCUCUGGUGUUUAAAUAAAGAAAAUAGAUAAGCUUUCCCUGGUGAUAUCAAGGGAAGUUGACUAAGAUUUCCCUUCCUUUUGUCUCUGGUGUUUAAAUAAAGAAAAUAGAUAAGCUUUCCCUGGUGAUAUCAAGGGAAGUUGAUUAAGACUUCCCUUCCUUUUGUCUCUGGUGUUUAAAUAAAGAAAAUAGAUAAGCUUUCCCUGGUGAUAUCAAGGGAAGUUGAUAAAGACUUCCCUUCCUUUUGUCUCUGGUGUUUAAAUAAAGAAAAUAGAUAAGCUUUCCCUGGUGAUAUCAAGGGAAGUUGAUAAAGACUUCCCUUCCUUUUGUCUCAGGUGUUUAAAUAAAGAAAAUAGAUAAGCUUUCCCCGGUGAUAUCAAGGGAAGUUGAUAAAGACUUCCCUUCCUUUUGUCUCAGGUGUUUAAAUAAAGAAAAUAGAUAAGCUUUCCCUGGUGAUAUCAAGGGAAGUUGAUUAAGACUUCCCUUCCUUUUGUCUCUGGUGUUUAAAUAAAGAAAAUAGAUAAGCUUUCCCUGGUGAUAUCAAGGGAAGUUGACUAAGAUUUCCCUUCCUUUUGUCUCUGGUGUUUAAAUAAAGAAAAUAGAUAAGCUUUCCCUGGUGAUAUCAAGGGAAGUUGACUAAGACUUCCCUUCCUUUUGUCUCUGGUGUUUAAAUAAAGAAAAUAGAUAAGCUUUCCCUGGUGAUAUCAAGGGAAGUUGAUAAAGACUUCCCUUCCUUUUGUCUCAGGUGUUUAAAUAAAGAAAAUAGAUAAGCUUUCCCUGGUGAUAUCAAGGGAAGUUGAUAAAGACUUCCCUUCCUUUUGUCUCAGGUGUUUAAAUAAAGAAAAUAGAUAAGCUUUCCCUGGUGAUAUCAAGGGAAGUUGAUAAAGACUUCCCUUCCUUUUGUCUCAGGUGUUUAAAUAAAGAAAAUAGAUAAGCUUU